UCAAUGUGACACCUAACUUCUUCACUUAAUCUCUUUCCCUUCACAGUGCAGAUGUGAAGUAACUGGAUAGGUGUAAAAAUAUGGUGGUAGGGGAAGUGGCUAGGGGUUGUUUUAGGACCAGACUUAUCUCGCAACAGAAGCAUCAAGCAUGUUAUUAUUUAGUUACAAGUAUUUAUCUUUGUUUCUGAUAAAACAAGGAUGUUGGAUCCCAGAGUUUGAGCCUGGUGUUGGCAACCCAACAGAUUGGUAGACUGCAACAUUGCCUUUAUCCCGUCAAUGAAACUCACCUUUCCUGUUUCUCACACACUCUAAUUACUGCAUUUAAAGGAAUACUGCGAGAUUCUGGCUAUUAAGCUGUUUUUCUACUUACCCACCUACUUAUCCCUUCAAGUCUAUUUUCUGGACAGUAUCAUUUCACUGUCUCUGUGUGUAGAAACUGUAUUGUCAUCGAGUUCACUUGAAUGAGUGUCUGGGUGGGUGCAGUGAAUAGAUGACAGGUUUUGAAUGAGUGUCUGGGUGGGUGCAGUGAAUAGAUGACAGGUUUUGAAUGAGUGUCUGGGUGGGUGCAGUGAAUAGAUGACAGGUUUUGAAUGAGUGUCUGGGUGGGUGCAGUGAAUAGAUGACAGGUUUUGAAUGAGUGUCUGGGUGGGUGCAGUGAAUAGAUGACAGGUUUUGAAUGAGUGUCUGGGUGGGUGCAGUGAAUAGAUGACAGGUUUUGAAUGAGUGUCUGGGUGGGUGCAGUGAAUAGAUGACAGGUUUUGAAUGAGUGUCUGGGUGGGUGCAGUGAAUAGAUGACAGGUUUUGAAUGAGUGUCUGGGUGGGUGCAGUGAAUAGAUGACAGGUUUUGAAUGAGUGUCUGGGUGGGUGCAGUGAAUAGAUGACAGGUUUUGAAUGAGUGUCUGGGUGGGUGCAGUGAAUAGAUGACAGGUUUUGAAUGAGUGUCUGGGUGGGUGCAGUGAAUAGAUGACAGGUUUUGAAUGAGUGUCUGGGUGGGUGCAGUGAAUAGAUGACAGGUUUUGAAUGAGUGUCUGGGUGGGUGCAGUGAAUAGAUGACAGGUUUUGAAUGAAUUAUAGAACGUUUAGAAACCAUUGGAUUGCCAUGCCUUUGAUUUAACCAAUCAACCCUCCC